rnacentral:misc_RNA from 1 species
UGUUAAUCUAGGGUCUUUGGUAUUGUUUUGCUUGAGGUUACACUAUAUUAGACAGAAUCGAUUAUAGAUAAAAUGAUAAAGUAAGAAGCACCAGGGUUGCGUAUUCCAACUCUGAUGCAGCAAACGCUGAAGUACAGCAUGGAGCUUGGUCAUUGCAAGUCCUUUUUUCUACUAUAUUCCUGAUACCUGUAGUAUCAUGACUAGUCUGUUUUCGUAGCAUACAUAAUAGUCUUGAUGGGCAUCCUUUUAUGAUGAGAAUCACCUAGCUCAUGUCCAAACUGCUCAUUAAUGGCAGGAAGCUG